UACGGAGGAUGCGAGCGUUAUCCGGAUUUAUUGGGUCUAAAGGGUGCGUAGGCGGACUGUCAAGUCAGCGGUAAAAUUGAAAGGCUCAACCUCUUCCCGCCGUUGAAACUGGUGGUCUUGAGUGGAUGAGAAGUACGCGGAAUGCGUGGUGUAGCGGUGAAAUGCAUAGAUAUCACGCAGAACUCCGAUUGCGAAGGCAGCGUACCGGCAUCCAACUGACGCUGAGGCACGAAAGCGUGGGGAUCAAACAGG
rnacentral:rRNA from 1 species